rnacentral:rRNA from 1 species
UUUUACAAAACAUGUCUUGUUGAGUUUUAUAAUAAGUUUGACCUGCCCAAUGAUUAAUUAUUUAAUGGCCGCAGUAUUUUGACUGUGCAAAGGUAGCAUAAUCACUUGUCUUUUAAUUGGGGACUGGAAUGAAUGGUUUGAUGAAAAAUUAACUUUCUUUAUUUUAAUAUAUAAAUUUAAUUUUUAAGUUAAAAAGCUUAAAUGUUUUUAAGGGACGAGAAGACCCUAUAGAACUUUACUUUUAAAUUUUWAUAUAGAUGUUUUUGCUUAAUUAAUUUUUUUAUUAAAAUAAAAGUUUUGUUGGGGUGACAUAUAAAUUUUAUUAACUUUAUAUUUUUUAUGGCAAUGAUUAUUGUUUAUUUUUGAUCCUUUAUUAAAGAUUAUAAGAUUAAGUUACCUUAGGGAUAACAGCGUAAUUUUAUCAGGGAGUUCUUAUUUAUGAUGAAGUUUGCGACCUCGAUGUUGGAUUAAAAUAAGCUUUAAAUGCAGUAGUUUUUUUGCUAAGUCUGUUCGACUUUUAAAUUUUUACAUGAUUGGGUUUCA